GUAUUAUCAUUUCCCCCGCACAGCGGAUACGUAAACAAUUCAAACAAAAGACAACGACAUAACCUGGCAACACAAAAGAAGACAAAGGCCAUCAAUUCAAUGCAAAUAUUACUGUAUUAAAGGAAAUUGUUGUAUUAAGCUUGCUUUGAAAACCGUUUGAAUGGCUUGGAUAGGCCUAUGGAGAUGGUGGAAAACAUCCUGAUUAGAAGGGGACGUUUGCGAGGCUUCUCCUGUUGAGAGGUGGAGGGAAGACCCUCUGGGAGUCCAGGAUGUGCCACUAUGUUGGGCGACAGAAGAGAGAGAGUUGACAUGCACUUUCAUUUAGAAAUGAUGUUAUAUUGUAUUCUUAGUUUCAACUCAUUAUUACUUUCACAAAUAAAUGAGAACCAGAAUCUUGA